rnacentral:rRNA from 1 species
UACGAAGGGGGGCUAGCGUUGCUCGGAAUCACUGGGCGUAAAGGGUGCGUAGGCGGGUCUUUAAGUCAGAGGUGAAAUCCUGGAGCUCAACUCCAGAACUGCCUUUGAUACUGAGGGUCUUGAGUAUGACAGAGGUGAGUGGAACUGCGAGUGUAGAGGUGAAAAUUCGUAGAUAUUCGCAAGAACACCAGUGGCGAAGGCGGCUCACUGGGUCAUUACUGACGCUGAGGCACGAAAGCGUGGGGGAGCAAACAGG